rnacentral:rRNA from 1 species
UGGGGAAUAUUGGACAAUGGGCGCAAGCCUGAUCCAGCAAUGCCGCGUGUGUGAAGAAGGCCUUCGGGUUGUAAAGCACUUUUAUCAGGAGCGAAACGCUGUCGGCUAAUACCCGGCGGAACUGACGGUACCUGAGGAAUAAGCACCGGCUAACUUCGUGCCAGCAGCCGCGGUAAUACGAAGGGUGCAAGCGUUAAUCGGAAUUACUGGGCGUAAAGCGUGCGUAGGCGGUUUCUUAAGUCUGCUGUGAAAUCCCCGGGCUCAACCUGGGAAUGGCAGUGGAUACUGGGAGGCUAGAGUGUGUCAGAGGGUGGUGGAAUUCCCGGUGUAGCGGUGAAAUGCGUAGAGAUCGGGAGGAACAUCAGUGGCGAAGGCGGCCACCUGGGACAACACUGACGCUGAGGCACGAAAGCGUGGGGAGCAAACAGGAUUAGAUACCCUGGUAGUCCACGCCCUAAACGAUGCGAACUGGAUGUUGGUCUCAACUCGGAGAUCAGUGUCGAAGCUAACGCGUUAAGUUCGCCGCCUGGGGAGUACGGUCGCAAGACUGAAACUCAAAUGAAUU